rnacentral:miRNA from 1 species
AAAAAAAAACGAAACAACCU